GACGAACGCUGGCGGCGUGCUUAACACAUGCAAGUCGAACGGAAAGGCCCUGCUUUUGUGGGGUGCUCGAGUGGCGAACGGGUGAGUAACACGUGAGUAACCUGCCCUUGACUUUGGGAUAACUUCAGGAAACUGGGGCUAAUACCGGAUAGGAGCUCCUGCUGCAUGGUGGGGGUUGGAAAGUUUCGGCGGUUGGGGAUGGACUCGCGGCUUAUCAGCUUGUUGGUGGGGUAGUGGCUUACCAAGGCUUUGACGGGUAGCCGGCCUGAGAGGGUGACCGGCGACACUGGGACUGAGACACGGUGCAGACUCCUAAGGGAGGCAGUAGUGGAGACUGUGGGGCAAUGGGCGGAAGCGUGAUCCAGGGAUAGCGCGUGGGUGAAGAAGGCCUUCGGGUUGGAAAGCGCGUAUGUGGGGAAAGAAAAGCAGUAGGUUAAGACCACGCUGUUCUGACGGUACCCAAAGAAUAAGCAACGGCUAACUUCGUG
rnacentral:rRNA from 1 species